GCAAGGCCUUUAGUGCCUGUCUCCACUGACCCAGAAGCUCCUCUGAUCUUAACCCCUUCAACUCUACUCACUCAGAGGUUUGGCUCCCUCUCACCUUCCCCUGGAGAUUUCACCAAAGCUGACAUGUUUAAACAUCAGUGGAAGAGGGUUCAAGUUCUUGCUGACACUUUCUGGGCUCGAUGGCAGAAAGAAUACCUCAACAUGCUCCAGAGCCGUCAAAGGUGGCAGCUCAGAAGACCAAACAUGAAGGAAGGAGACAUUGUUCUUUUAAAGGACAAGCAACUGAAAAGAAAUGAGUGGCCAACAGGAGUCAUAGUGAAGGCUCUUCCAAGUAAAGAUGGAGUUGUCAGGAAGGUGGAAGUCAAGAUUACCCACAACAAGACUAAAAAGACCUUCUUCAGACCUAUUUCUGAGUGUAUUCUUCUCUUAUCUCCUGAGAUUAUGUGAAUUUGUUAUUGUGGCAUUUUUGAAAUAAUGCCAGGCGAGGAGUGUGUUGGAACUGUUUGUGCCUGCAGUUGCAGUAGCACCUUUUCGCCUAUAGAGGGCGCAGUGCGUUUAUUUACCUGUGUGAUUUACAGGAAGUGAGGUACCUGGAAGUUUUUAUUUUCUGCUUCAUAACGAGAGAUACUCAGUCGUCCAGCUGUUUGUUUUGCCCUUGUACUGGCAAUAUAAUUUCACAAUUUUUGGCAUUAAACCUGUCCAACCACAA